AACGAACGCUGGCGGCAGGCCUAACACAUGCAAGUCGAACGCCCGUAGCAAUACGGGAGUGGCAGACGGGUGAGUAACGCGUGGGAACGUGCCCUUCGGUUCGGAAUAACUCAGGGAAACUUGAGCUAAUACCGGAUACGUCCGUAAGGAGAAAGAUUUAUCGCCGAAGGAUCGGCCCGCGUCGGAUUAGCUAGUUGGUGAGGUAACGGCCCACCAAGGCGACGAUCCGUAGCUGGUCUGAGAGGANGAUCAGCCACACUGGGACUGAGACACGGCCCAGACUCCUACGGGAGGCAGCAGUGGGGAAGUAUUGGACAAUGGGCGGAAAGCCUGAUCCAGCCAUGCCGCGUGAGUGAAGAAGGCCUUUAGGGUUUGUAAAGCUCUUUCAGCGGGAAGAUAAUGACGGUACCCGCAGAAGAAG
rnacentral:rRNA from 1 species